rnacentral:rRNA from 1 species
AUACGGAGGAUGCGAGCGUUAUCCGGAUUUAUUGGGUUUAAAGGGUGCGUAGGCUGUGCGUUAAGUCAGGGGUGAAAUGCCGUCGCUCAACGACGGAGCUGCCCUUGAUACUGGCGUGCUGGAGUACGGAUGCCGUUGGAGGAAUGAGUGGUGUAGCGGUGAAAAGCUUAGAUAUCACUCAGAACACCGAUUGCGAAGGCAUCUGACGAAUCCGUCACUGACGCUGAGGCACGAAAGCGUGGGGAUAGAACAGGAUUAGAUACCCUGGUAUUCCACGCCGUAAACGAUGAUGACUAACCGUCGGCGAUAGACAGCCGGUGGCCAAGCGAAAGCGAUAAGUCAUCCACCUGGGGAGUACGUCGGCGACGAUGAAACUCAAAUGAAUGGACGGGG